UCCUUCCCUUGACUCCUGGACUAUGCAUAACUGCAAAGGCGAUCUUAUACCCUUAACACCUACUAAAGGAAGGCCCAAAUCAAAUACCUAUUACUGCAACAAAAGUGUUUUAAAAUGUAUACUUUAAACACUUUUCUACUUGAGAAUGACUAAAGUACUAGGUAGACCUGGAUCCCAGUAAAAUAUAUGAGUUCACUAUUAUGUCCAAAUGAAGGAGGAAAAGAGCUGAAAUACAUAAAGAAAAUCCACCUCCUUCUUUGGAAGAGAUAUUUGGGCUUUACCAAGAGAAUGUCCAAACUACUGAGAUUCCUUUCUUCCUCACAAGUUGUUCCUUAUUAUGAAAGCUUUCUCAUUUUUAUCUUCUUAGUUGGGCUCAUAUGAUUUUUUUCUCUUCACUUCAUGUUUGCCUUCUCCCUGCUAAAUCAUUUCCAUCAUUAUAAAAAGCAUGAUCUAUUAUCUGCUAUUUUCUAUGUCUCUUUUUACUUCACAUUUUCUUGUAGCUACUGUGUCAUUUCUCUGUCCUCUUUGACAGCAAAACCAAUCAAAGCAUGUAUCUGUUUUCCCUUAUCCGAACAGCCUCAACAUUCAUCCAUUUCUCUCCUCUCCAAUUGGACCUCUAUGCUCACAGAUGCAUGGAAUUGUUCUUGGAAAGGUAACCAAUAACCUAUAAGUUCACAAAUUCAAGAAGUUUU
rnacentral:lncRNA from 1 species